rnacentral:lncRNA from 1 species
UGUGGACACUGACCUAGCUGGUCUCAAAGGCCUCUUUCAAUUUUAACAUUCCCCCAUUCCAUUGACUAACACAGAGAUACUUUUAUUGCAGAAGUGCUUCGGUCAGGCAGUAUCUUUGAAAAUAAUUUGGCCAAUGAAAGCCCUGGCAUUGGAUGAAAGUGCUAGCUGCUGGGAAUGCUACCCCUCCUUUUGGUUCUCUUUCAAGUCCUUCAGGUUCAAACAAUACAGAAGUGUAUAAAGUAAGAAUUGAAAGUCUCUUCGCUGCUCUAAUCUCACUCCUCAGAGGUGAUCACUGGACCUGAGUGAGCAGAAGGCUUUUCAGAAUUACAGCCUGAACUAUUUCUUGAGCAAUUUGGGAACUCAUUUCUAAAGCAGUCCUCAGAUUCACACAACGUAGUUUGUGACGGAGUAUGCCCAGAGCAGUGUGGAAGAUGAUCAAAGUAUGACAUUUCUUCUACCCCAGAGGCUGGCAUUUCUGCAGGCACAAAUGAGCUUGGUUUUCAAGCACUGCUCUUUGAACACAAGGAAUUCCUUUAAUGAUCACGCCGGACUAUAUAGACUUUGGAAUCAGACUCUUUGAAUUCCAGCUCUGCCAUUUACCAACUUUGACACUUUGGACAACGUCUCAUUCUGUCACCCAGGCUGGAGUGCAGUGGCACAAUUAUAGCUCACUGCAGCCUCAAACACCUGGGCUCAAGCAAUCCUUCCACCUCUGCCUCCUGAGUAAUUGGGACUACAGGCAUGUGCCACCACACCCAGCUAAUUUUUAAUUUUUAAUUUUUUUGUAGAGAUGGCGGUCUUGCUAUGUCACCCAGGCUGGUCUUGAACACCUGGCCUCAAGUGAUCCUCCGGCCUUGGUCUCUCAAAGCUCUGGGAUUACAGACAUGAGCCACUGCACCCGGCUCUAUCUCCCCUUCCUAUGUGUGUUAGCUCUAGAACAAGAGAAGCCUUGUUGAGAUUCCUGGCUGCCCACCCCCCAUCACCUCUCUGACUUUGGGCAAGUUGCCUGGCCUCUCUCAGCCUUUAUUUUCUUUUUGUGAAAUGGGGAUAAUAAUAGUACUUGCCUCAUAGGCAAAAUGUUGUGAGAACUAAACGAGAAAAUGCAUGUAAAGCACUUGGCACUUAGUUCUUUUUAUGAUUAUAAUGAUAAUCAGACACAAUAAAUUAUGUCUCACAUCACAUGCUGUUUAGCCUAUUCACUGUUCUAUUUUUCCUGAAGUCAGUUCAGUGUGUAGCAUCCAGAAUUGAACAAAACACCCCCGAUGUGACCUGAUAGUGCAAAGUAAACUAUCAUCUCCUUCAUUCUAGGUAUUAUGUUUCUAUUAAUGCAGUCUAAAGGUAGGAUAUGAGUUGUUUUGUUUAUGUAUCUUUUUUUUUUUUUUUUCAGGGAUGGGGAAUGACUAUCUCCAAUUAAACUUCUCAGUAAAAUCUCUCCUCUUGUGUGUUGUGCUUUAGUAUUUAGUUUUGGAUACUAGUGCAGGAUCUUAAAUUUAUCCCAUUACAUGUGAUUUCUUUAGUGUUAGUUCCUUUUCAAAUCUGUAUAAGCCAUUCAUUCAUUCAUUCAUUCAUUCAUUUUAGAAAGUCAAACAUAUAUUUAUCAUGAGCCAGCACAGUGCCAGUUAUUUGCCAUAUUCUAAGAUUUUAAACAUUCAUUGGCAUUUUAAUUGUGCAUGAUUUCUAUACCUUCAUCUGAAUUGUUGUGUAACAUAUUUGGAUAAUACAGAGCUAAGGGCACAGGCAAAGAAAUAUCUUUAGAAACUUUCCUCUAGGCUCACCAGCACCCUUAGGGCACUGUCAUUUAAAUAUUAUGAAUUAAUCUUGUGUGGUAUCAUUUGGUACAAAUUAUUUUCCAGCUUGACCAGCAAGAAAUCUUGAGACUUUCUCAGAAUUCUUGUUCAAGUCAAGAUUCCCUAUAUCUUUCUAGUCACCUAACUCAAUAUUCCUAUCAAAAUAAGAUGAAUCUGAUGAGAUUUUUUUUAAAAAGUGAAGUUAGGCUGGCUUGUUUCCUAAUGGGCUGAGAGGACAUAUUCCCAUUCCAGAAUUUUGAAGAAUCUAAGUGCACACAACACAGUGCCUAAAGCAUGUCAGCUGUCUGUUUCGGAUGCUCGUCCUACCACGUGUAGCAUGGCGAAGACAGGAGUCAGAGGUUGGGAAGUUUAGCUAGGUGAAAAAGUCUGCCCUAGGGCAUGCCCUUCCCACUACUGGAGAGCAGUUGCUUUACAUUUUAUUUUACCUAGCUUUUUGUAAAUAUUUCUCCCUUUCUGGGUUACUUGUGAUCAAGGGGCAUGGACUUACUCAUCUCUUAUAAUUCCAAUCAGUGCAUGACACAUCAUAGCUGAUCCUCAAUUAUGUUUUAAGUUAAUGUACUCAAGGUUUAUUUGUCAAUUGAAUGCCUAACCUAUUACAAUUAAGGAGAGAGAAUACUAUCCCCUUUCAGUCCAGGUGUAUGGCAAAUGGAGAUGUCUGUAGGUAUUAGGACAUCCCUAGAAACUUUCAGAAAGGCAUUGGAGGAAUGCCUCCUUAAACAGUAUGAAACUCCAGUGAUUAGCAAUGGAGUCUAAUGAAUGAGAAGCAGUAUAAUGGCUUUCUCAAAAUAUUGGGAAAUUCAUGAUCUUUUUCUCUCCUUUAUCAUUCCUAGGGUUUUGGAAAUCUGGAUUGUAGCAGGGCAUUGUGGAUCUGCCUGUUGGUGGAGAACCCUAGACUGCAUGCAGCCAUGCACAUGAUCUGGAGACACAGCAGAGACAAGGUCUUUGUCUGUUGCUCAGGAUGGAGUGUAGUGGUGCCAUAGCACACUGUAAUCUUGAAUUUCUGGACUACUGGCAUACACCACCAUGCUUAGGUUCGGGCCACAACAUCCGUGACUUUACCGGUUUUGGUCUCUUCCUUGUAACUUUCGGCUCCAGGAUGCUGCGCAGCUCCUCUCUGCACUAUCUAUCAGAACGUUGCUCUGCGUGCUUGAAAGUUUCGCCAAACAGAAGUACACAAAAACAAACAGAGGCGAAACACAAAUCCCCUCAGCCCUGGAGGAAAAGGCCUUGAAGCUCUUCCAGUGCAGAGGCCACGCAGAGGACAUGCUCCUACCUGUGCACAUCGGCCACGCCUGGGGUGCCUCCUGGAGUCCAGGCUGCUGGCGAUGGAAUCCAUCAUGUUGCUGAUGUCACUACUCUCAACUCCUGAUGGCAUCAGAACACAGGCAGCAUCAAGAUCAGGCUCAAGAUGCAGGAUUUUAUCAUCCAAAUCAGGCCCACAUAUGGAUGAAACCCUUCAGGUAUUCUGCACAUCUCUCAGGAAACCCAGAUGAAAUUGAGUGCCUGCUGCCCACAUCAGCAACCCAGACAUCCCACUUGAUUCUGCUUCUGGAGCCUAAGAUGGGAAAAUGGCAGGUGUCGCAGGUUGCAGGGGAAGGUCGGAGACCAGUUGAGGGCCCCGGAGUCUGUCUGGAAAGAGUUUUCCAUCCAGCCCGUCUCGGUUUCCGCAUCCGUGUGAGUCCUUUAUGACGUCGGGAAUGCCA